CCUCGCCCCCUUUUUUCCCGCUCUUCUUCCUCCCUCCGCCCCGCGCGCCCGAGCAACACCGCUGACAUCACCGUAGUAAGAUUUAAAUAGCUACACAUGCCAUGUUUCUCCUGGAAACAAAGCACGCUAUUGGCCGGCGGCGCAGCCAGCCUCUACCUACCAACAGGGAUAAGCCCGACGCUUCCAGCCAAUCAGCGCCGAGAUCGCGUUGCUGCUAAGAGCCAAUGGAACGCCUGUCACUAAGGGAGGGAAAUACAUAGAAGCACAUCAGGUUCCUUGGGAGCCGGCAACAGGGGCUGAUGGGAUAUUCUGAAAGGACCUCUUGCCACAGCAAUGAAUUCGGCAUCGUUAGGAACAUGCACUGGACUUUAACUACGUGGCAUUGGCGGAGGAGAUGGCUUCGUGCCAAAAGGAGAGGCAGUGCCAGGUUCAGUAAGGCUUUCCAUAAGGACACCUUCCCUCCCUACAGCUCUUUGGAAUAGUUCCUGAAUUUCAACAAGGCAACUUACAACUUUUCAUCCAAGCCAUAGACACCCGCAAAAACCCUGAGAGGGAUUGCAUGCCAUUUUGACAAGAUACUAGAUGCCUGAUCAUUUUUGUGAUAUGCUUUGAGUAAGGACCUCCCUUUGAUUGCUGUGGAAAAGUGAUGCUUCGUGAAGAUGAUCAAGUUCACAUUAUGGACCAAACCAGCAUCUUCUGACUUAAGCCAAUCACCAGUUUGGCUCCAUUUUCUCCAGGAAACAGCCAGCAUCACACAACGGGUGUUUGUGCUCCUCUAACAUAUUGAAUCCUUUCCCAGGAAAAAGAUAGCAUGUAAAUAAUGAACGAGCAAACAAAUACAUAGAGUAGGGAAAAACCACAAGGGCAAUCCAUUCAAACCCCCUGCCAUACCAUCUCAGCACAGCAGUAAUGGAAAUGGAGAUUUCCUCUUUUUGAAGGGGGAAAGGGGUUUUUAAUUUCCCUCUGGACAGUUAUUUUAAUUAAUUUGUUGCCCCCUCCCCCAUUUUAUCUUGUAUAACUAAAAAGUUCCAUUUUGGCCAUGUGGAUUGUACUCUCUGCCAAACCAAUAGUGAAUGUGUGGGGACAUUAUAAGUGCCUAUGUUUCUUUGAGGACAAGUUGAUGAGCAUGUUUCCUCCACUGAUAUAAGCAAAACCAUGAUUACACAAAUCUCAGGACUUUCAAUACAAAACCAAACAUUUCCUGUGCUUUAUGAAGUAUUGAGGGACAUAUAAGUGGACUGCAACAAAACUGGAAUCAGUUUUUCUGCCUUUCUUUAUUGGUGAAAUUUUAUUUUCUCAAAUAAAUAUUAAAUAUUUAUUGUACUUCA